UCCAUGUGGGGCAAGCGUUGUUCGGAAUUACUGGGCCUAAAGGGUGCGUAGGCGGUUUGUUAAGUCAGGGGUGAAAGUUUUCGGCCCAACCGGAAAAUUGCCUUUGAUACUGGCGAACUUGAGUGCGUGAGGGGUAACCGGAACGAGCAGUGUAGCGGUGAAAUGCGUAGAUAUUGCUCGGAAGGCCAACGGCGAAGGCAGGUUACUGGUACGCAACUGACGCUGAGGCACGAAAGCUAGGGGAGCAAACAGG
rnacentral:rRNA from 1 species